AAUGUUCAACAAAUGCAGUCGUGAGGUACUUUUGCCCUAAAUGCAUUUGUUGAACAUUGUGAAUUAUAGAAGCUUCUGAAUGAGUUUCUAGUUCAGACAAGUGUGGCAAUAAAAGUUGGUUCGUUUGAUGCAAUCUAUCUGAACUGAUUAUGAAAAGAAGAGAUAUUUGAUUUAUCUAUCAGAUAUUAUUUAGUUCAUUGAAGAAAUAAAUGUUAUUCAGUUUCAUAUCCAUUAAUCAACAAUUUUUCUUC
rnacentral:misc_RNA from 1 species